AUUGAACGCUGGCGGCAUGCCUUACACAUGCAAGUCGAACGGUAACAGGUCUUCGGAUGCUGACGAGUGGCGAACGGGUGAGUAAUACAUCGGAACGUGCCUAGUAGUGGGGGAUAACUACUCGAAAGAGUGGCUAAUACCGCAUGAGAUCUACGGAUGAAAGCAGGGGAUCGCAAGACCUCGUGCUACUAGAGCGGCAGGUGGCAGAUUAGGUAGGUGGUGGGAUAAAAGCUUACCAAGGCGACGAUCUGUAGCGGGUCUGAGAGGACGAUCAGCCACACUGGGACUGAGACACGGCCCAGACUCCUACGGGAGGCAGCAGUGGGGAAUUUUGGACAAUGGGCGCAAGCCUGAUCCAGCAAUGCCGCGUGCAGGAUGAAGGCCUUCGGGUUGUAAACUGCUUUUGUACGGAACGAAAAGCCCUGGGUUAAUACCCUGGGGUCAUGACGGUACCGUAAGAAUAAGCACCGGCUAACUACGUGCCAGCAGCCGCCGUAAAAC
rnacentral:rRNA from 1 species